GAUGAACGCUGGCGGCGUGCCUAAUACAUGCAAGUCGAGCGAACAGACGAGGAGCUUGCUCCUCUGACGUUAGCGGCGGACGGGUGAGUAACACGUGGAUAACCUACCUAUAAGACUGGGAUAACUUCGGGAAACCGGAGCUAAUACCGGAUAAUAUAUUGAACCGCAUGGUUCAAUAGUGAAAGACGGUUUUGCUGUCACUUAUAGAUGGAUCCGCGCCGCAUUAGCUAGUUGGUAAGGUAACGGCUUACCAAGGCAACGAUGCGUAGCCGACCUGAGAGGGUGGGAGGGAACAUGGGAACGGAGAUGCGGCCCAGAGUCAGACGGGAGGCAGCAGUGGGGAAUAGGGCACAAUGGACGGAAGACUGAUGCAGCGACGCAAGGUGGGAGAUGACGGACUGCGGGUAGUAAACUCAUUUCGACCGCGAGGAAGCCACCGGGUUGGAAGGGGGGUGAGGGUAGUGGUAGAAGAAGCACCGGAUAGGUACGUG
rnacentral:rRNA from 1 species